AGUCGAACGGCAGCACGGACUUCGGUCGGUGGCGUUGGCGAGCAGGUGAAGUAAUGUAUCCGGAACGUGCCUAGUAGCGGGGGAUAACUACGCGAAAGCGUAGCUAAUACCGCAUACGCCCUUCGGGGGAAAGCGGGGGACCUUCGGGCCUCGCACUAUUAGAGCGGCCGAUAUCGGAUUAGCUAGUUGGUGGGGUAACGGCUCACCAAGGCGACGAUCAGCAGCUGAGUUUGAAGGAGCUGACCAGCCACACUGGGACUGAGACACGGCAGACUCUAGGAGGCAGCAGUGGGGGGUACGGACAAUGGGGAAACCUGAUCCAGCCAUCCCGCGUGUGCGAUGAAGGCCUUCGGGUUGUAAAAGCACUUUUGGCAGGAAAGAAACGGCACGGGAUAAUACCCGUGCAACUGACGGUACCCUGCAGGAAUAUCAGCACCGGCUAACUACGUGCCAGCAGCCGCGGUAAUACGUAGGGUCCAGCAGCGAUUAAUCAGGAAUUACUGGGCGUAAAGAGCCGUGCGCCGGGCGGUUCGGAAGAAGAUGUGAAAUCAGGCUCCACUUUGGAACUACAGUGCAACUACCGAGCUAGAAGAGUGUGUCAGAGGGAGGUGGAAUUCCACCCUGUAGCAGUGAAAUGCGUAGAUAUGCGGAGGAAUACGCGAUAAGAAGGCAACCUCCUGGGAUAACACUGACGCUCAUGCACGAAAGCGUGGGGAGCAAACAGGAUUAGAUACCCUGGUAGUCCACGCCCUAAACGAUGUCAACUAGCUGUUGGGGCCUUCGGGCCUUGGUAGCGCAGCUAACGCGUGAAGUUGACCGCCUGGGAAGUACCCGGUCGCAAGAUUAAAACUCAAAGGAAUUGACGGGGACCCGCACAAGCGGUGGAUGAUGUGGAUUAAUUCGAUGCAACGCGAAAAACCUUACCACACCCUUGACAUGUCUGGAAUCCCGAAGAGAUUUGGGAGUGCUCGCAAGAGAACCGGAACACAGGUGCUGCAUGGCUGUCGUCCAGCUCGUGUCGUGAGAUGUUGGGUUAAGUCCCGCAACGAGCGCAACCCUUGUCAUUAGUUACGCUACGGGCCUCUAAUGAGACUGCCGGUGACAAACCGGAGGAAGGUGGGGAUGACGUCCAGUGUCAUGGCCCUUAUGGGUAGGGCUUCACACGUCAUACAAUGGUCGGGACAGAGGGUCGCCAACCCGCGAGGGAGCCAAUCAGAAACCCGAUCGUAGUCGGAUCGCAGUCCUGCAACUCGACUGCGUGAAGUCGGAAUCGCUAGUAAUCGCGGAUCAGCAUGUCGCGGUGAAUACGUUCCCGGGUCUUGUACACCGCCCGUCACACCAUGGGAGUGGGUUUUACCAGAAGUAGUGCUAACCGUAAGGAGGGCGAUUACCACGGUUAGGAUUCAUGACUGGGGUGAAGUCGUAACAAGGUAG
rnacentral:rRNA from 1 species